rnacentral:rRNA from 1 species
CGAACGCUGGCGGCGCGCUUAACACAUGCAAGUCGACCGGAAAGGCCUGCUUUCCCUUGUGGAUUGCGGGUACUCGAGUGGCGAACGGGUGAGUAACACGUGAGUGAUCUGCCCCCAACUUGGGUAUAAGCCUGGGAAACUGGGUCUAAUUCCCGAUAGGACUGCAGGGUGGUGCCUGUGGUGGAAAACGAUUUUCUAGUGGUUGGGGAUGAGCUCGCGGCCUAUCAGCUUGUUGGUGGGGUAAUGGCCUACCAAGGCGGCGACGGGUAGCCGGCCUGAGAGGGUGGACGGCCACAUUGGGACUGAGAUACGGCCCAGACUCCUACGGGAGGCAGCAGUGGGGAAUAUUGCGCAAUGGGCGGAAGCCUGAUGCAGCGACGCCGCGUGGGGGAUGACGGCCUUCGGGUUGUAAACUCCUUUCGACCGCGAGGAAGCCACCUGGUUGGAAGGGUGGUGACGGUAGUGGUAGAAGAAGCACCGGCUAACUACGUG